AUUGCCCUAGUAACGGCGAGUGAAGCGGCAACAGCUCAAAUUUGAAAUCUGGCUUCGGCCCGAGUUGUAAUUUGCAGAGGAAGCUUUAGGCGCGGCACCUUCUGAGUCCCCUGGAACGGGGCGCCAUAGAGGGUGAGAGCCCCGUAUAGUUGGAUGCCUAGCCUGUGUAAAGCUCCUUCGACGAGUCGAGUAGUUUGGGAAUGCUGCUCAAAAUGGGAGGUAAAUUUCUUCUAAAGCUAAAUACCGGCCAGAGACCGAUAGCGCACAAGUAGAGUGAUCGAAAGAUGAAAAGCACUUUGAAAAGAGGGUUAAAUAGCACGUGAAAUUGUUGAAAGGGAAGCGCUUGUGACCAGACUUGCGCCGGGCUGAUCAUCCGGUGUUCUCACCGGUGCACUCUGCCCGGCUCAGGCCAGCAUCGGUUCUCGCGGGGGGAUAAAGGCCCCGGGAAUGUAGCUCCUCCGGGAGUGUUAUAGCCCGGGGUGUAAUGCCCUCGCGGGGACCGAGGUUCGCGCAUCUGCAAGGAUGCUGGCGUAAUGGUCACCAGCGACCCGUCUUGAAACACGGACCAAGGAGUCAAGGUUUUGCGCGAGUGUUUGGGUGUAAAACCCGCACGCGUAAUGAAAGUGAACGUAGGUGAGAGCUUCGGCGCAUCAUCGACCGAUCCUGAUGUAUUCGGAUGGAUUUGAGUAGGAGCGUUAAGCCUUGGACCCGAAAGAUGGUGAACUAUGCUUGGAUAGGGUGAAGCCAGAGGAAACUCUGGUGGAGGCUCGCAGCGGUUUCUGACGUGCAAAUCGAUCGUCAAAUCUGAGCAUGGGGGCGAAAGACUAAUCGAACCAUCU
rnacentral:rRNA from 1 species